CCCUAUCAGAAUGUGGCUCUGAUAUCCUGAAAUCUCUGCAGCCCUACCUCUGCCAGGAGCAGCACAGGAAUCCACACCCAAAUGAUGAGGAAACUAAGGCUCAGAAAGUUCAGGAAACUUGCCAAGAUUACCCACGUGGUUACGAAGAUCUCGGCAUCAGAAAAGAAGCUCAGAGCAGCACGGCAUCCUCAGCCCUCCUUCUCUCUUGAAGCAGACACUGAAAGACAGGAGCCGUCUCCAGGCUGGGAGGAAGGGCUAUGACGGUCAUCUACUGCCAUGGCUCUCGAGGCUGACAUCACAACCAAGUGAGGACUUCUACAAGACACCCACACGCAGAGAAAUUUUACCUCAAGAAGCUCAUCCUCUGGCUGCAGAAGUUUCAGUGUAUCAACAGGACCACCUGGAACAAUUGAAGAUAUAUAAUGGUGCCCAUCAAAGGAAUCCACUUCCAUGCCAAGUCUCAGAGUGUGAAUGGGC